GACGUAGGGUGCGAGCGUUGUCCGGAUUUAUUGGGCGUAAAGAGCUCGUAGGCGGCUCGUCGCGUCGACCGUGAAAACCCGCGGCUUAACUGCGGGCUUGCGGUUGAUACGGGCAGACUAGAGGGUGGUAGAGGCGAGUGGAAUUCCCGGUUGUAGCGGUGAAAUGCGCAGAUAUCGGGAGGAACACCAGUAGCGAAGGCGGCUGCGCUGGGCCAUUCCUGAGCGCUGAG
rnacentral:rRNA from 1 species